GAUGAACGCUGGCGGCGUGCUUAACACAUGCAAGUCGAACGGAAAGGCCCAAGCUUGCUUGGGUACUCGAGUGGCGAACGGGUGAGUAACACGUGGGUGAUCUGCCCUGCACUUCGGGAUAAGCCUGGGAAACUGGGUCUAAUACCGGAUAGGACCACAUUUUGGAUGGUGUGGUGGAAAGUUUUUCGGUGUGGGAUGAGCUCGCGGCCUAUCAGCUUGUUGGUGGGGUAAUGGCCUACCAAGGCGUCGACGGGUAGCCGGCCUGAGAGGGUGUACGGCCACAUUGGGACUGAGAUACGGCCCAGACUCCUACGGGAGGCAGCAGUGGGGAAUAUUGCACAAUGGGCGCAAGCCUGAUGCAGCGACGCCGCGUGGGGGAUGACGGCCUUCGGUUGUAAACUCCUUUCGCUAGGGACGAAGCGUUUUUGUGACGGUACCUGGAGAAGAAGCACCGGCUAACUACGUG
rnacentral:rRNA from 1 species